CUCUGUCCUAACUUAUUUUCUUGAUUCUUUCCUUUAAAAUUGUAUUUUCUGUGGUGGAGGGUUUAUGCACUGUUUGUUUUACCGGUAACCACAGUUUUUUUUUCAAAGUUAGGGUGGAAGAGAACAGAGUUUUAAUUUCCUGGGGUUUGAACGGUGUUGUGUGCGUGAUGGCUUCGCAGCUUAGCGCGGAGGAGAUACUGGCAUUACGGCAUGGAUUCAGGUGUGUUCCUGAGAAUGGAAUUAAGGUGGAGGAGGUUCUGCUCUCCAAUCGGCGAACAGGGUGGUAGUUGCAAAUUUGCCUCCGUUUAUUACAGAUGAUCAAAUCCAGAAAGAGCCGAGUCGUUUUGAUCCUUGGUGAAUUAUUGGUUAAGUGACUCAGACUGUAAAUGAACAAGACGUGUACCCUGGACCAAGUCUCCAAUAUUAUCCAGAAUGCAUCCAAGGAGGACCAGGAAGGGGCUUGCCCCACAGAGCCUACCCCAGUAACAGUAACCUCUGUCUGGGUCCCACCCCACCCGGAUGGCCUCCCAACCCCCCUGUGAAGCAGUCCGCACCCUCUCAGCAGAGGUGCAGCCGAGGUCCUCCACCCCCAUCUUGCCCUUCGCUCCAGUCCUCACUCCGCUCUGUCCAUCUCUAGAAUGAAGACAGCCAGUUGGGCCCGGCCCCGCUCCCCUAGCCCCCAGCCCCUACCACCACGCUCCCCCAGUCCUGGGCCCCAGCUCGUCCAAAUGAGGCGGUACAGGCCUGGGGUUGGGGUGUACCCCUUCCUGUUCCCCUCGGUCAUCAGCGCUCUGCCCCUGGCUAACCGACGGGCUUCUUCCCCGGCUCUGAGGCUGCAGGUCCAGCAGCCCUCCAGCAGCAGUAGUACUCCGUCGCCUGCAGGUGAGUCCUGUCUGCAGAAUGCAGUGCAGGGUCCUGUCUUUGGGGCUUUCAGUUAAGAAGCAGCCACUAAGGGGCCUUCCAAGUGGCGCAGCGGUCUACUACCGCCCACUACCUGGGUUCAAUCCCAGGCUCUGUCACAACCGCGUGAACGGGCAGUCCCAUAGGGCGGCGCACAAUUGGCCCAGUGUCGUUAAGGGAUUGUUUGGCCGGGGGGGGGGCUUUACUUUACUUUACUUGGUUUUGCCUGGGGGGCUUUAUCUACUUCCCCAGAGUCAGAUAAACUCGUAGGUACCAUUUUUAUGUCUCCACUCGUGCAUCAAUGGCUGGAAUUCUAUGGUAACUGCUAGUUAGUUUUGGCUCGCGAAACUACCUCUAACUUCCUUCAUACUGGAAACAGAGAAUGUAUUGAGAUAGUUUGGGAAGUAGCCCCAUAUGCAAGCCCUCCUCAGCUUCUUGUAAAUUAUACAACAUCAGCCUAUUUUUCUGUAUUCACUAGGAAACUAAGAUAGCCAUGGAGGCAGUCAACUGCUCAGAGGUAGGAGUUGAAAGCGAGGAGAGGAGGAGAGAGAAUAGGAGAGGUUGAUAGAGGAGAGGUAAGGGAAGAGAGGAGGGAGUAGGGGAAGUCAGACUAAUAAACAUAUCCACCAGUAAAUAAUCGUAGAGCAGUAUAUUAUAUUCACACUGUAAUUGGCCCCUAGUGUCUCUCUGCACCACACUGAUGAGACUGUGUGUGUCAAAAUAUCACAGCUGCAGGGACAUUUUGACAGUCAGUGUCCUGGGAUUGCAACCCCACCUUUGUGCCACUGUUUUCUAAACUUUCUCCUACACUCUGAUUCCUUGAACCCCCAAACCUGCUCCAACAUGAAACAAAGCUGGCAGCUCCAGCAGGUUCACCCCAGGGGAUAGCUCACUCUGCCAACCCAGAGAGGAGGCACUCUGAGGCAGCCUGAGCCCGCUCCUUCCUCCCUCUGGGGUGUAGUGUAAAUAAUAACAGCAUGAGAAUGUCAUGUCACUGCAAUUAAGUUCAGUCUCACAAUCUCUCGCUCUCUCGCUCUCUCUCUCAAUUCAAUUCAAUUCAAUUCAAGGGGCUUUAUUGGCAUGGGAAACAUGUGUUAACAUUGCCAA